ACGCCGNGGGAGGGCNUUAACACAUGCAAGUCUGAGCUGGUAGCACAGCAGAAGCUUGCUUCUUGGGUCGACGAGCGGCUGGACGGGUGAGUAAUCGCCUGGGGAUCUGCCCGAUAGAGGGGGAUAACUACGGGAAACUGUAGCUAAUACCGCAUAACGUCUACGGACCAAAGUGGGGGCUCUUCGGACCUCAUGCUAUCGGAUGAACCCAGNUGGGAUUAGCUAGUUGGUGAGGUAAUGGCUCACCAAGGCUGACCGAUCUCUAACUGGUUUGAGAGAAUGACCAGUCACACUGGAACUUGAGACACGGUCCAGACUCCUACGGGAGGCAGCAGUGGGGAAUAUUGCACAAUGGGGGGAAACCCUGAUGCAGCCAUGCCGCGUGUGUGAAGAAAGGCCUUCGGGUUGUAAAGCACUUUCAGCGAGGAGGAAAGGGUGCAGCUUAAUACCUGUGCCAUGACGUUCUCNAGAAGAAGCACCGCUAACUCCGUGCAGCAGCCCGGAAUCGGAGGNNAAGCNUAUCGAAUCUGGCGU
rnacentral:rRNA from 1 species